GGAUGAACGCUGGCGGCGUGCCUAAUACAUGCAAGUCGAACGCUUUGUGGUUCAACUGAUUUGAAGAGCUUGCUCAGAUAUGACGAUGGACAUUGCAAAGAGUGGCGAACGGGUGAGUAACACGUGGGAAACCUACCUCUUAGCAGGGGAUAACAUUUGGAAACAGAUGCUAAUACCGUAUAACAAUGACAACCGCAUGGUUGUUAUUUAAAAGAUGGUUCUGCUAUCACUAAGAGAUGGUCCCGCGGUGCAUUAGCUAGUUGGUAAGGUAAUGGCUUACCAAGGCGAUGAUGCAUAGCCGAGUUGAGAGACUGAUCGGCCACAAUGGGACUGAGACACGGCCCAUACUCCUACGGGAGGCAGCAGUAGGGAAUCUUCCACAAUGGGCGAAAGCCUGAUGGAGCAACGCCGCGUGUGUGAUGAAGGGUUUCGGCUCGUAAAACACUGUUGUAAGAGAAGAAUGACAUUGAGAGUAACUGUUCAAUGUGUGACGGUAUCUUACCAGAAAGGAACGGCUAAAUACGUGCCAGCAGCCGCGGUAAUACGUAUGUUCCAAGCGUUAUCCGGAUUUAUUGGGCGUAAAGCGAGCGCAGACGGUUAUUUAAGUCUGAAGUGAAAGCCCUCAGCUCAACUGAGGAAUUGCUUUGGAAACUGGAUGACUGA
rnacentral:rRNA from 1 species